UUGUAAGGAUUUCCUUUCUAAAUUUCUCCUCUUUCAGUCUGAAGCCAUUCCUCUUUGUCACAUCAAUGCAGUUUCUAAUGAAGAGACCCUCUCCAGCUUCCCUGUAGGCCUCCUUCAGAUACUGGAAGGCUACUAUUGUAAUAAAUGGGCCAGGAGACCAGCUCCCUUUUAAUGCCUUUUUUAAGUGAUCAACUCUAGGUGGGGGCCCGAGGAGCCACGAACACCGCUGCUGCUCCCUUUGGCGACACAGAGGAGGACAUGAUCAGUUUUGCUUCACAGCAGAACCGGGGCUUCCGUUCUAAUGGGUGUGCCUAGGAAAACAUCUUCUGGCUCAUCGGCUAGGGUCCUCAUUCCAGUCCAGUUCUACUGAGGUGAUGGUGACCUCUAAAACCUUGUUGGUGGAGUAGAGGGACUUCCCCCCAGAAUGUUUCCAGCUGCCAUUUUGGGGAGCAGCAGAGGCAAUACCUGAGGGAUUCAAUAAGGGUACAGGACAACUAAGGUACAGCAAGGAAAAACAAGCAACAACAAAACCAUACAAAAUCCAAAAUCAAAAGAGAAAUGAAUGGAGAACUGUGGUAGUGUGUUUUUCAGCUGUAAUUGUUUAAGUUGUUAAUGUGUUUUAUUCCAAAGAUUUGUAAUGGUUUAUUCCUAUGUACCCCUACCUUCUGUUAAAGUGGUCUAGCCUUAUGUUAAGCCCUUCCCCUGCACCCUUCCAUCAAUCCUUGUACCUGCCCCCUUUUCCAGUCUCUUCCAUGUCAGUCUAUGUAGUCCUGCCCCUGCCAUCCAUCAAUCAUUGUAACCCCUGCCUUUUAUCUAGAAUCUUCCCUAUCAUUUAUGUAAUCCCUAACCUUCCAUUGGUUGUGGAUGUUUGCUCUCCUGCCCCCAUGUACCUUAUUAGUUGUAUGUUAAUGCAGUCCCACCUCAUGCUCCUCCCUUAAGCUAGCUGGUUGGUUGUUAGGCUGUCCCCCUGCCACCUCAGAGACCGCCCCCCUUUAUAAGUUGCUGCACUACCUUGUUCUGUGCUCUUUGUCUUUGCUUUCCUUCAUGUGUGAUAGUUUCCUCUUUGUCUUUGCUUUUCCUUUGUGUGUUACAUCUGCUCGCUCCCUCUCAGGGGAGGAAUAAAAGCCACU